GGGCGUUUAACUCAGCGGGAGAGUGGCACCUUCACACGGUGCAAGUCGUAGGUUCAAUCCCUACAACGCCCACGA
rnacentral:tRNA from 1 species